rnacentral:rRNA from 1 species
CCUACGGGAGGCAGCAGUAGGGAAUAUUGGGCAAUGGACGGAAGUCUGACCCAGCCAUGCCGCGUGCAGGAAGAAGGCGCUCAGCGUUGUAAACUGCUUUUAACUGGGAAGAAGAGCUUCUUUGCGAAGGAGUGUGACGGUACCAGCGGAAUAAGCACCGGCUAACUCCGUGCCAGCAGCCGCGGUAAUACGGAGGGUGCGAGCGUUGUCCGGAUUUAUUGGGUUUAAAGGGUGCGUAGGUGGUUUUGUAAGUCUGGUUUGAAAGUCAGCCGCUUAACGGUUGAGGGUGGCUGGAUACUGCAGAACUUGAAUGCUCUGGAGGUAGGCGGAACGGGUUGUGUAGCGGUGAAAUGCAUAGAUAUGACCCAGAACCCCGAUUGCGAAGGCAGCCUACUACGGGGUGAUUGACACUGAGGCACGAGAGCAUGGGGAGCAAACAGGAUUAGAUACCCUGGUAGUCCAUGCCGUAAACGAUGAUCACUGUCUGUUGGUUUUAGUUAAUCAGUGGAUAAGCGAAAGCGAUAAGUGAUCCACCUGGGGAGUACGCCGGCAACGGUGAAACUCAAAGGAAUUGACGG